CAGCCGCCGCGGGAAUACGAAGGAGGCUAGCGUUGUUCGGAAUUACUGGGCGUAAAGCGCACGUAGGCGGAUAUUUAAGUCAGGGGUGAAAUCCCGCAGCUCAACUGCGGAACUGCCUUUGAUACUGGGUAUCUUGAGUAUGGAAGAGGUUAGUGGAAUUGCGAGUGUAGAGGUGAAAUUCGUAGAUAUUCGCAGGAACACCAGUGGCGAAGGCGGCUAACUGGUCCAUAACUGACGCUGAGGUGCGAAAGCGUGGGGAGCAAACAGGAUUAGAGACCCCGGUAGUCCCUGUCUCUUAUAC
rnacentral:rRNA from 1 species